UACAGAGGCCCCAAGCGUUAGGCGGAAUCACUGGGCUUAAAGCGUGUGUAGGCGGACGCCUAAGUGUCUUGUGAAAUCCCACGGCUCACCCGUGGAACUGCUGGGCAUACUGGGCGUCUUGGGCCAACUAGGGGCAGCCGGAACAAGCGGUGGAGCGGUGAAAUGCGUAGAUAUCGCUUGGAACGCCGAAGGUGAAAACAGGCUGCUGGGGUUGCGCCGACGCUGAGACACGAAAGCCAGGGGAGCAAACGGG
rnacentral:rRNA from 1 species